ensembl:lncRNA
GGACUUAAAGAUACCCGAUUUAAACUGUAGCCCAGAAUUGGUGGCCAUGGAUUAGCCAAUUAAUAAUCUUUAAUAACUACUCUAACGUCAGGCACCCUUACAGGAAUGAUUUCAUCUGACCAUGUCCACAUCUCUGCAAGGAUGGAGUGGUGACUUCCAAGCUCUUUCAAGCUGAACCAGAAGACAGAAUUUGAAACAUUUUUCUUUAAGGAAGGAUUCUGCUCACAUGUUUUGUUUAAUCUGCUAACCUGCUUUUAGACUUUUCUGGCUUAAGAGAUUUUCAUAAAGAUCAAGUAUUUCAUAAUUUUACUAUAUCUUGCCUUAAAAAUAUAAGACACUAGAGCAAAUUAUUUUAGAGAAACAAUUCUCCUCCAUAAAAAAAAAAAAAAAGCAACAUCAAGAGAAUGAGGAAACAAACUAUAGACUGGAAGAAAAUACUUAUAAAACACAUAUCUGAUGAAGGACGGUUAUACAAAGAACUCUUAAAACUCAAUAAUAAGAGAAUGAACAACUCAAAUAAAAACGGACAAGAAACCCGAACAGAUACCUCAACCUGAGAUGUCAAAGUGGAAGCAUGUAACCAGAACAAAAUCAUCAAAGAAGAAAUAGUCACAGCACUCUCCACCCACCUAACUCAACCUCCUACAAGCCAGUGCUGAGACGGGCCUUAGGUCAACAACAAGAUCUCAUUUUACUCUCAUUAAUAUGGAGAAGAUUAUUGUGGUUUGUCAGAGAGAACUUUGAGCUGAACAAGGUGUAUAAGGAGAUAGUGAAAAGCACAGGUUAAGGAAGAUGGAGUAAUAGUCAAGCCAAAAGUGGAUAAAUAUUGUACUUACAUACAGUGCAAAGUUGCAGUAUUACACAGCUCCAAGGGCACCAUUCUCAAAGAACAAAUUACUGGUGAUGCCAUAAUCAUGCAGUU